UUUUUCGGUUGUAAAUGUGUUUUUGUCCCUUCAAAGUCGAAAUCAUAGAUCCGUCCAUGGAAGAACCACCAAUAGUAACAUGUGGAUGUGAGCUUGGAAUAUCGAGCGAAAAUUGGAGCAUGGCAGAUCAUACCAUAACCAUCUCCAACUUAGGAAUGGGGGGACGUUCAAACAAGGAUAAGGAGGUUUGUCCUCCACAGUUGCCAGAUCUCAUUCCUGAAGGGCCAGUGUUAUUACCACAUGAAAGCCUCGGAAUCUCUCCAAAUGAAUUUCUUAAAGUCGAAGACAUGGAUACCGCGGUGUCGUGAGCACUAGAGCUUAAAUUCCCAUGGGAAAAUUGGAGAAUGGGGCAUCGUACCCGAACCAACUCCGACUUCGGUAUGGCUUCGUUUGACUCUCUUCCCUCACGUGUUCCAGACUUAAAAGGCUGAUGAUAGAACUUUCGAAGCAAAAAUAUAAAAAUAAAUUACAUUAGUAAUACCUAUAUUUUGACCA